rnacentral:rRNA from 1 species
GACGAACGCUGGCGGCGUGCUUAACACAUGCAAGUCGAACGGAAAGGCCCUGCUUUUGUGGGGUGCUCGAGUGGCGAACGGGUGAGUAACACGUGAGUAACCUGCCCUUGACUUUGGGAUAACUUCAGGAAACUGGGGCUAAUACCGGAUAGGAGCUCCUGCUGCAUGGUGGGGGUUGGAAAGUUUCGGCGGUUGGGGAUGGACUCGCGGCUUAUCAGCUUGUUGGUGGGGUAGUGGCUUACCAAGGCUUUGACGGGUAGCCGGCCUGAGAGGGUGACCGGCCAAAUUGGGACUGAGAUACGACCCAGACUCCUACGGGAGGCAGAAGUGGGGAAUAUUGCACAAUGGGCGGAAGCCUGAUGCAGCAACGCCGCGUGCGGGAUGACAGCCUUCGGGUUGUAAACCGCUUUCGCCUGUUACGAAGCGUGAGUGACGGUAAUGGGUAAAGAAGCAGCGGCUAACUACGUG